rnacentral:rRNA from 1 species
CCCUUAGAUGUUCUGGGCCGCACGCGUGCUACACUGAGUGGAUCAGCGGGUCAGGUUGCGCGGAAGCGUUUCCUAAUCUUUAAAUCCGCUCGUGAUGGGGAUUGACGGUUGCAAUUUUCUGUCAUGAACGAGGAAUACCUUGUAAGCGCGGGUCAUCAUCCCGCGCUGAAUACGUCCCUGCCCUUUGUACACACCGCCCGUCGCUCCUACCGAUUGAGUGGUCCGGUGAGGCUUUGGGAUCUGAGCGGAAAGAGCGUUUCGCUGUUUCUGCUCGGAAAACUCAGUCGAACCUUAUCAUUUAGAGGAAGGAGAAGUCGUAACA